rnacentral:rRNA from 1 species
GACGAACGCUGGCGGCGUGCCUAAUACAUGCAAGUCGAGCGAAUCAAAGGGAGCUUGCUCCCUUUGGUUAGCGGCGGACGGGUGAGUAACACGUGGGCAACCUGCCUGUAAGACUGGGAUAACUUCGGGAAACCGGAGCUAAUACCGGAUAAUUCCUUUCCUCCCAUGAGGAAAGGCUGAAAGACGGUUUACGCUGUCACUUACAGAUGGGCCCGCGGCGCAUUAGCUAGUUGGUGAGGUAACGGCUCACCAAGGCAACGAUGCGUAGCCGACCUGAGAGGGUGAUCGGCCACACUGGGACUGAGACACGGCCCAGACUCCUACGGGAGGCAGCAGUAGGGAAUCUUCCGCAAUGGACGAAAGUCUGACGGAGCAACGCCGCGUGAGUGAUGAAGGUUUUCGGAUCGUAAAACUCUGUUGUUAGGGAAGAACAAGUAUGAGAGUAACUGCUCGUACCUUGACGGUACCUAACCAGAAAGCCACGGCUAACUACGUGCCAGCCGCCGCGGUAACAC